UACGUAGGGUGCGAGCGUUAAUCGGAAUUCCUGGGCGUAAAGCGUGCGCAGGCGGUUCGUUGUGUCCGUCGUGAAAGCCCCGGGCUUAACCUGGGAACUGCGAUGGAAACUAGCGAGCUGGAGUGUGGCAGAGGGGGGUGGAAUUCCGCGUGUAGCAGUGAAAUGCGUAGAGAUGCGGAGGAACACCGAUGGCGAAGGCAGCCCCCUGGGCUAACACUGACGCUCAGGCACGAAAGCGUGGGGAGCAAACAGG
rnacentral:rRNA from 1 species